CCCUUAGAUGUUCUGGGCCGCACGCGCGCUACACUGAUGCAUUCAACGAGUCUAAAACCUGGUCUGAUAGGGCUGGGUAAUCUUUUGAAAGUGCAUCGUGAUUGGGAUAGAUGAUUGCAAUUCUUCAUCUUCAACGAGGAAUGCCUAGUAAACGCAAGUCAUCAGCUUGCAUUGAUUACGUCCCUGCCCUUUGUACACACCGCCCGUCGCUCCUACCGAUUGAAUGUUCCGAUGAAUACCAUGGACUGAGAGUAUGAAUGGGUUCGCCUAUUUCUGCUUCUCGGGAAGUGGAGUAAAUCUUAACAUUUAGAGGAAGGAGAAGUCGUAACA
rnacentral:rRNA from 1 species